rnacentral:lncRNA from 1 species
GAGAACAAGAGCUUGAACUGAUCUUACUACUCAGGAGAAGAAGAGAACAAGAGCUUGAACUGAUCUUACUACUCAGGAGAAGAAGGGGGAAAAACAACUAAGAAAAUGACAAGUUCAUUUACUGAACACUACAAGAGGGGACGAUGGAGAAUACAUGUCUCUUGUCCAACCUAUGUGAAGCAUUGACGAGGAAAGAAAUGUUCAAUGCUUUCGGAUGUCGGUUGCAAGAUUUGACGACUUGCUUCAGCUGCUUGCCCCUCACAUCUCGCACGAGAACUCACAGCUUGCCUGUAAUUGCUCCAGAAAGGCUAUCUGUGACCCUUCGGUUUUUGGCGAGUGGCCGCACACAGCAAAUUAUCACUGUGAGUUAAAAGCUAGGAAUCUCGACAGUUUGUGAUAUCGCCACAGAAAUGUGCCAGGCUAUCUGGCAUGUCCUGAAGGAGGAUUUAGUUGCAUCCCUCUGUGGUAAAAUGGGAAGAAAUCGCCAGAGAGUUUGGAGAACGUAGGAAUUAUAAGUUUUGUGCAGGAGCUGUCGACGGAAAUCAAAUCAAAUCACAUUUUAUUGGUCACAUACACAUAUUUAGCAGAUGUUAUUGCGUGUGUAGCGAAAUGCUUGUGUUCCUAGCUCCAACAGUGCAGUAGUAUCUAACAAUUCACAACAAUACACAUAAAUCUCAAAGUAAAAUAAUGGAAUUAAGAAAUAUAUAAAUAUUAGAACGAGCAAUGUCAGAGUGGCAUUGACUAGAAUACAGUAGAAUACAGUAUAUUCAUAUGAAAUUAGUAAAACAGUAUGUAUACAUUAUUAAAGUGACCAGUGUUCCAUUAUUAAAGUGACCAGUGAUUCCAUAUCUACUGUAUGUACACAGUGCAGCAGCCUCUAAGGUGCAGGGUUGAGCAACCGGAUGGUAGCCGGCUAGUGACAGUGACUAAGUUCAGGGCAGGGUACUGGGUGGAGGCCGGCUAGUGAUGGCUAUUUAACAGUCUGAUGUCUCUCGGUCCCAGCUUUGAUGCACCUGUACUGACCUUGCCUUCUGGAUGAUAGCGGGGUGAACAGGCAGUGGCUCUGGUGAUUGUUGUCCUUGAUGAUCCUUUUGGCCUUCCUGUGACAUUGGGUGCUGUAGGUGUCCUGGAUGGCAGGCAGUGUGCCCCCGGUGAUGCUUUGGCCACCCCAUGGAGAGCCCUGCAGUUGCAGGCGGUGCAGUUGCCGUACCAGCCGGUGAUACAGCUCGACAGGAUGCUUUUAAUGGUGUAUCUGUAAACGUUUGUGAGGCUCCUGGGGGCCAAGCUGAAUUUCUUCAGCUGCCUGAGGUUGAAGAGGCGCUGUUGCGCCUUCUUCACCACACUGUCUGUGUGGGUGGACCAUUUCAAAUUGUCAGUGAUGUGUAUGCCGAGGGACUUGAACCUUUUCACCUUCUCCACAAUUGUCCCUUCAAUGUGAUUGGGGGCGUGCUGCCUCUGCUGUCUCCUGAAGUCCACGAUCAGUUCCUUCGUUUUGUUGACGUUGGGGGGAGGUUAUUUUCCUGGCACCACUCUGCCAUGGCCACUCCACCACUCCGCCUCCCUGUAGGCUGUCUCGUCAUUGUUGGUAAUCAGGCCUACUACUGGAGGCGUGCGUGGCCACACAGUCAUGGGUGAACAGGGAGUACUGUUCACCCAUGACUCUCAAAGCACUUCAUGAUGACAGAAGUGAGUGCUACAGGGCGAUAGUCACUUACCUUUGCUUUCUUGGGUACAGGAACAAUGGUGGACAUCUUGAAGCAAGUGGGGACAGCAGACUGGGAUAGGGAGAGAUUGAAUAUGUCCGUAAACACUCCAGCCAGCUGGUCUGCUCAAGCUCUUAGAACGCGGCUAGAGAUGCCGUCUGGACCGGCAGCUUUGCGAGGGUUAACAUGCUUAAAUGUCUUACUCAAGUCAGCCACGGAGAACGAGAGCCCACAGUCCUUGGGACCGGGCCACGUCGGUGACACUGUGUUAUCCUCAAAGCGGGGGAAGGUGUUUAGCUUGCCCGGGAGCAAGACGUCGGUGUCCUGGCAUCGGUGUCGGUGUCCGUGGCUGGUUUUUCCUUUGUAGUCCGUGAUUGUCUGCCACAUACGUCCCCUGCCACAUACGUCUUGUGUAAAUCAUAUUCAGGAUCUGAGCUCCGACAAGUAUUACAACUACAAGUGCUUUUUCUCAAUGGUCCUGAUGGCAGACUGUGAUGCAAAGUACCGUUUACCAUGAUCGACGUGGGCUCAUAUGGUCGGGGAGGGAGAUGCAGGAAUCUUCUCACGAAGCAAGUUUGGCUUCCAACUCAUUGCAGGCCAGAUGCCGCUACCAAGGCCAGAGUGCUUGCUGGGGACCCAAACAACGAGCUCUUAUGUCUUUGUGAGAGACAAAGCAUUCCCUCUGAGGGUUAACCUGAUGUGACCAUAUCCAGGUUCUUCUGGCCUUGAUGACGCCAAGAAGAUCUACAACUACCACCACUCAAGAGCCAGAAGAAUUUCAGAGAACUGCUUUGGGAUCCUUGCUGCAAGAUGGAGGAUCCUGGGAUGAGCCCUUGAGGUUUCCCCAGAGAAAGCUGAGACCAUUGUGAAGGCCUGCAUGACCCUCCACAAUUACCUUUGCACCACGGACAUUUCAGACACUGACAACACAGAGCCAUCAACACAGUACAUCCACCCACGUUUGUUGACCACUCUACACCCGCUGCAGACCUGCAUCCAGGAGAGUGGAGAAAGGUGGUACAAGGAGACACCAGCUUCCUGGACCUAAGAAACAUGUCGGCAAACAGGGCAACCAGAGUUGCUAUAGACUUGUGCAACAACUUCAAGGACUACUUCCUCACAGUGUCACAGUGUCUUUCCAGGAUGCUGCUAUCAAACGUGCCACCCUAUCUAAAGUAAAUGUUAAAAUGUUGGAGUGUGGUUUGGAAAACAUGAGCACAUACUUUCUCUGGUUGAUGACUGUUUAAAUGUCAUAUGUGAGCUACGCACUUGUUUUGCUGUUUGGAUUUUGCUGUUUUUAUUAUUCACACUUUACAAAUCACAAUAAAGACUACCA